UCCGUGUUCGCCUUGCUGAUCCAAGUGGAGCCCCAUCCGCAGCCAGCGACCCCGGAGUCUUUCAGAUCCCGUGGGGUUCUGCAAAGUCCCCGAGGACCGACUUUUGGAAGAAGUCCUCUGUCCUCCCCACAGCCCAGCACAUGAAGGUCAACCUCCCAGAAGGCAAAAAGGCACCGAAGGAGAAGUCAGAAUUGAAUGGUAACAGAUCACUGGGAUGCCGUCGUCUCUCCAGAGCAAGCUCCUGCCAUCCUGCCCGGCCAGUGACCUUAAGCCCAACAUGCAGAGAAGGCCACACUGAGAACCGAGAAAUGAUUUAUCCACUGCGAUUGCUCUGCCCUGGCCCCUUCUCUAAAGCAAAGACUGACAACGGUGCUGAAUUAUGGAUGCACUUUUCAUGAUAUGUAAUACAGUUGAGAGGAAAGGUGUUGGGACCCUCACACCAUUUCACCUCUCCAAAGAGACUGGGCUUGAACAACAAUCCCAGAGGGUGAGACUGAUGCUGAACUAUGACCCUCAAUUUACAAAUCAUUUUUCAAAAGAAUAAAACAAAAGUUUAAACAUA